CGGAGAGCGAUGAGGGGUAUCCAGAGAUGGGGGAGAGGUCACUGGGGAGCGGGGAGAGCGAUUUAAAUGCUACACGUGCUCCUCAGGCUGUCGAUGACGUGCUGCUCAGGUCGGCAUAGGAGCAUGAAACGUCAGAAGAGUCAACGUGCAUCAUGUGGAGAAACAGCGGGACUCUACAGCUGGCAGGAUGACGGCAUGAAAAAUGAGGUAGCCCACACCUGGUCAACUCGCACAGCUGCUCACAUCUCAACUAUAAGCGGGCAAACCUUGGUAUGAAUCCUGAGAGAAAACACACACACACACACACACACACACACACACACACACACACACACACACAC